AUGUAUUCUUUCGAAAUUAGGGAAAUACCAGGAAAAGGUCGCGCGAUGAUCUCGACAAAACCAUUUGCUGUUGGAGAAACUAUAUUUGAGGAAGAGCCCUUUGUCUCGCGCCAAUUUUCUUGGAACGCCGCAUACGGGUAUGCAGCUUGUGAUCACUGUAUGCGUCCACUCGAAACAGUUACGGAAAAUGUGCGCCGCUUAGCGAAUAACAAAGCUUUAGUAGUCCCUCUGAUAGAACACGAUCCAACCAAACCUUGGUUACAGCAGUUUACAAAAUGUGAGCGUUGCAAAGUACGCUACUGUUCCGAGGAUUGUCGUAUAGAGGCAUUAAAUAAGUAUCAUCGUGUUGCUUGUUUGGGCGCCUUUCAUUCCGAUGAUACACAUCCAAUUAAUGUAUUAAAUGAAAUAUGGAAAAAAAUGCAUUACCCACCGGAGACUGGUACUAUUAUGUUAAUUGUACGUUUGAUGGCCAUGUAUAAGCAAAGUAAUAACAAACAGCAGUUCCUCGAGUCACUCCAAUCUUUUCAAUCAGUAAUAGUAAACGCGGAAAAACAAAUAUAUCACAAGAUGUUAGGAGCAAACUUUGAACAACAAAUGGAACAGCUAUUUUUGGCAUUCUGUAGAUCAUUUGCUGACGAGGAAUUUGCAGCUUUCACUACAGCAGAUGCCUUCAAGGCAUUAAUGGGUAUGAUUGGGACAAACAGUCAAGGCAUCGCAACAAGUACGCUGGCGGAAUGGGUUAAAAAAGUUAGUGAUUUGCCACUACCGGAAGAAGAUAAAGUAAAACUUGACGAAUAUAUUGACGAUAUAUACAACAAAGUUGGAGAAUUCGCUGGCGAGUUCCUUAACACUGAAGGUGCUGGCCUCUAUCUUCUGCAGAGUAAAAUAAAUCACAGUUGUAUGCCUAAUGCUCAAUCUACCUUUCCUUACUCGAAUGACAUUGUGGUACUGAAGGCAGUCGCCCCUAUACAGACGGGUGAAGAGAUUUGCAUUUCUUAUUUAGAUGAAUGUCAAUUGGAGCGCAGCAGGCAUUCUAGACAAAAGAUCCUUAAAGAAAACUACAUAUUCGUAUGUCAAUGCCCUAAAUGUCAAUUGCAAGCUACUGAUCCCGAUGAGACUAGCGAAGAUGAGGAAGAUGACUAUGAAAUGGAUAUGGAUGACGACGCAGAAAUGUCGGAUUAAUAAACUGUUCUGCAUUUUAAAGUCUAUUUUUUAUUAUCGCGCAUGUACAUAUAUAUUCACUGCCUGCACUUUUUGAUGCAACUCGCUCGCCUCAGCCCUUAAGAUCAAC